rnacentral:rRNA from 1 species
UAACGUUCCGAAAGGACGCUAAUACCGCAUACGCCCCAACGGGGGAAAGCGGGGGAGUCUUCGGACCUCGUGCUACAGGAUGAGCUUGCGUCGGAUUAGCUAGUUGGUGGGGUAAAGGCCUACCAAGGCGACGAUCCGUAGCUGGUCUGAGAGGAUGAUCAGCCACACCGGGACUGAGACACGGCCCGGACUCCUACGGGAGGCAGCAGUGGGGAAUAUUGCGCAAUGGGGGCAACCCUGACGCAGCCAUGCCGCGUGUGUGAAGAAGGCCUUCGGGUUGUAAAGCACUUUCAGUGGGGAGGAAAGGGCGCUGGCUAAUAUCCAGUGCAGUUGACGCUACCCACAGAAGAAGCACCGGCUAAUUCCGUGCCAGCAGCCGCGGUAAUACGGAAGGUGCGAGCGUUAAUCGGAAUUACUGGGCGUAAAGCGCGCGUAGGCGGCUUGGUAAGUCGGGUGUGAAAGCCCCGGGGCUCAACCUGGGAACUGCAUUCGAUACUGCUGGGCUAGAGUACGAGAG